rnacentral:rRNA from 1 species
ACGCUCGACACCUACGGGAGCAGCAGUGGGGAAUAUUGCACAAUGGGGGAAACCCUGAUGCAGCGACGCCGCGUGGAGGAAGAAGGUCUUCGGAUUGUAAACUCCUGUUGUUGGGGAAAAGAGGAUGGUACCCAACAAGGAAGUGACGGCUAACUACGUGCAAGCAGCCGCGGUAAUCUGAGCGGGCUGGCAAGGC